rnacentral:rRNA from 1 species
AUUGAACGCUGGCGGCAUGCCUUACACAUGCAAGUCGAACGGUAACAGGUCUUCGGAUGCUGACGAGUGGCGAACGGGUGAGUAAUACAUCGGAACGUGCCCGAUCGUCGGGGAUAACGAGGCGAAAGCUUUGCUAAUACCGCAUACGAUCUACGGAUGAAAGCGGGGGAUCUUCGGACCUCGCGCGGACGGAGCGGCCGAUGGCAGAUUAGGUAGUUGGUGGGAUAAAAGCUUACCAAGCCGACGAUCUGUAGCUGGUCUGAGAGGAUGAUCAGCCACACUGGGACUGAGACACGGCCCAGACUCCUACGGGAGGCAGCAGUGGGGAAUUUUGGACAAUGGGCGAAAGCCUGAUCCAGCCAUGCCGCGUGCAGGAUGAAGGCCUUCGGGUUGUAAACUGCUUUUGUACGGAACGAAAAGCCUCUUUCUAAUAAAGAGGGGUCAUGACGGUACCGUAAGAAUAAGCACCGGCUAACUACGUG